GCACAAGAGAGGCUGGCAUAGCUCUACCUUGAGUUGCACCUCCCUCCCUCCUUCUGUCAUGUCGUCCAUUGAAGAGCUCAAGGUGGUGCGGUUGUUUCGCGCACUCAACACGAUCAUCCAACUCUGCCACGACCGCGGCUACGUCAUUCGACACCCGUCGGCGAUCGCCGAGGCGGUGCAGAACCCCGAGCUCUACGACGACGAAGAGGGGCUCGACCAUGACUGGUUCUUGCGGCACUUCGUCAUCUCGCCGGGCCGCGCGGCGCGCAGCACACGCGCGAAGCAAAGCGGCGAUGGCGGCAGCAGAAGCGGCCCCGGGCGUGCAGCGAAGAACGAGGAAGAUGGCGGCGGCGCCGACAAGCCGGGCGAGUAUGAUGUGGCAGUGGACGAAGAUGAGGUGCUUCGUCGUGCAGCCAACGGAGAGUGGGUGUGCAUGCGCAACGCCAUGCGGCUGACGUGCUCCGUGGACCCACGCCGCGCAACACUGGCGUCGAGCGUCGUCACGGGGGCACCAACGAACAAGGCGCCCUCUUCUGCGCCUGUCGUGAAGGCGGAGCCGAAGGAUGACGGCGGCGGCGUGCCCUACGCUGUGGCAGCGGCUGCGGUGGACGCGAAGUCGAAGGAGAAGGCGGCCAAGAACGCCCUCAUGGUCUUCUUCUCGGGUUCACCGAAGCUGAGCAUAAAGGAGGUGCAUUCGUUCCGCGAAAAGGCGCUCAAGAAGAUGGCGUCAUCGAUGAUCAUCGUGACGAACAAGAUCGACCCCGGUGUGCGCAUGGAUGUGCAGGAGCUCAGUGGUCGAAUGGAUGAGGCCACAGGAGCGGAGCUGCUCUCCAUCCAAGUCUUCGAGGAGGAGGCGCUGGCAUUCAACGUCGUGCGCCACGAAACGGUACCGCGCCACGUCGCCCUCACGCCCGCUGAGGCCGAGGCGUUCCUGGCGGAGCGGAAGCUAAACGUUGCCCAGCUACCCCGCAUGCAAGAGAGUGACCCUCUGGUCCAGUACCUUGGCCUGCAGCGCGGCAGCAUCGUCCACAUCACACGCGAAGGCAAGCAGAGCGGCCCGUACAGCAUGUACCGGCACGUGAUUUGAGGCCGCGUGUCUGCGAACGCACAUGUGCGUGACUUGUCCUCUCUCUUUCGUCGUGUCUGUGCGUCUCACCGCAUCUUAAUCUUGUUUCUUCACCACCGGUUAAUCAGUGAAGGCACCCGUCAAGUGCCUUGCGUAUGCGUUUCUGGUCCUAAGCUGCCUCACCCCACGCGCAUGCAUGGAUGUGUGGUUACGCCCCAUCGUCGGUGGCUUGCAAGCACGCUUGCCGACAAGGCUGACGCCUCCAAGUGCGGGAAUGCACACGCCGCAUGUCUAUGUGUGCACUGGAGAAAUA
rnacentral:misc_RNA from 1 species